UAAGCAUCUAACUUCUUCAAUUCCAGAAAUGCCCCUCCUGAAACCUCAUAUUCACAAGCCAUCUUCCUUUCCCUGUGCUCCCUCCGACACCCUGCUCGCCGAAAAAGCAAUCACAUACCUCAAAUGCCAUCUCCACGACCUCAAUUCUCUCUCUUCCUGUUUUACACCUGAGGCAGCCUCCUAUUUACUCCUCAAGUCCCAAUUAGAAUGGCUCUGAUGAAAAAUGCUACAGAUGCAAUGAAGGAGUCUCGGAUUUCUGAUCUCAUUGCAUCGCUAAAUGCACUUCAAUACAGAAGAACGGAUUUUGAAGAGUUCUGUGCCGCUGCUUUAAGUGUUCAUCAGCUCGAGGCACUUGAUCAUUGCAAACAACAUGCUCGAUGUGUAUAUGAACUUUUUGAGAGAGAUGGAAACAGAGCAAUAGUCAUUGAAGAACUUGCUUCAGAACUUGGAUUUGGUCCCUCAAUCCCGCUUCAUGUGGUUCUCCAUGACUGGAUUAGGCACACUGAUGGGAACUUGGAUUUGUUGCAUGGCGUGUCCAGGCAGAUGUUUGUGAAAGCACAGUGAAGAUAUAGAGCAUUAUUUUUAUAUGCGUUUUAGCCAAACGAGAUGUGCUAUGUGUUGAUAGACAUGGUGCUUGUGCCCAAUGAUUGAAUUUCAAGGUUUGGAGAUCUGGCAAGAUGGCCAAUUUACAAUCUGCUUUGGCACACAAUGAAUGAGGCUUCCCUGCCAAUUGGUGGAGAGGGGUUUGAGCUUCCCAUACACUGCAGGUGCAAGCUUGGUUACCAGUUUGAAUUCUGUGUUGUUGAUACUCUGAGUGUAAAGCUGUAGUUAGUUUGCCUAAAUGGGGAGUGGUUGGGUAAUUUCCUGCAACUGCAACAAUCUAUUGUUUCCUAAUAAGAAACGCAACCUCUCUGAAACUGCUUUGUAGUGCUCUCUCUCUUGCUUAAGACAAUCCUGAGGUGCAACGUCCUUUUACAUUUUACGUUUUUCUUGAUCUGGAGCCUGAGGUAAUCCCUUGACUUCCCCUUCGAGACUGCCUCUAACUUAUCUUGGAUAUCUCUGUUGUACAAAGAUCUUCAAUUUUGUGGAUUUUUUUUUCCUUAUUUUGUUAAAUUUAAUGUUAAUGUCCUUGUUAUAUAUCUGAGAUUAUGUUAAAAAGAGCUCGGGCUAAUUCUUGUAUGUGAAAAAGGGCUCAAGCCUAUUCUGUCAGAAACUGUUUUUGUUGUAUUAUGUUUGUAAGGGCUUUAAGAAGCCACUUUGCUUCUUAGAUGUGUAUGGCUGGUUGAUAUUAUCAGCCUUUCCCCAGAAGACAACUCUUCUAUAUGUAUCAAGGAAAGUAGAUUAUCGAGCUAGGAAAAAUAAGUCUGGUCCCAGAAGCAGGAGCCGACCUUUGAGUUAAUCAUCACUGUCUUUGUUAUCCUUUUCUGAUGUUUGCAUAUUGAUCUCUUAGUGCUGCUAGUAUUAUAAGAAAAUCCAACGUAUUUCUCAUUCUGAAUAUAUAUACAGCCAAUGUGCAGCUAGUGUUGUUAAUUUGCAUGUGUUAUGAAUAUGUAUGGGUUUUUCGGUCAAGAAUUUAGCAAAGUUUUGAGUGUUGACUUGUAGUGGGUUUGCAGGUUAUCAAUAUGGCUUCCUCUGCUGCAGCAAUCCCUCCUCAGGAAAAGUAUGAUGUGUUUCUUAGUUUCAGAGGUGAGGACACCCUCUAUACUUUUACCAGCCAUCUUUAUGCUGCUUUAUGCUCAAAGAAAAUCAAAACCUGCAUAGACGACAUACUUGAGAGAGGAGAGCAAAUUGCACCUGCCCUUUUCGAAGCAAUUGAGGCAUCAAAGCUUUCGGCGAUCAUUUUCUCGAAAAACUAUGCUUCAUCCACAUGGUGUUUGGAUGAACUGUGUAUCACCGACUUUCUUCUAAAUUUGAAGCUUCUUGUUUUCUUGCUGUUAGGGAGGAGUUGGAAAAACAUGGACUAAAGCACUUGCGAAAUGUCCUUCGUGAGAUAUUAAACGAAAAAGAUCUAACUAUUGACACUCCAUCCAUAGGAUCAACUUCUGCACGAGAAAGGCUCAGCCAUACAAAGGUCCUCAUUGUUCUAGAUGAUGUGAAUGAUUCAAAACAAUUAGAACUUCUAGUUGUUGAUUAUGUCCGGUUUGGCCCUGGAAGUCGAAUCAUUAUAACAAUAAGAGAUAGGUGCCUACUUAAGAAAUUGGUUGAUGCUGAUAAGAUUUACAAGGUUGAGGGAUUA